AGGUUACCUCAUUUAUCACAUUUACCGACAUACAAGGGGUGCAGGUUAUCUCAUUUAUCACAUUUACCGACAUACAAGGGGUGUAGGUUAUCUCAUUUAUCACAUUUACCGACAUACAAGGGGUGCAGGUUGUCUCAUUUAUCACAUUUACCGACAUACAAGGGGUGCAGGUUAUCUCAUUUAUCACAUUUACCGACAUACAAGGGGUGCAGGUUGUCUCAUUUAUCACAUUUACCGACAUACAAGGGGUGCAGGUUGUCUCAUUUAUCACAUUUACCGACAUACAAGGGGUGCAGGUUAUCUCAUUUAUCACAUUUACCGACAUACAAGGGGUGCAGGUUAUCUCAUUUAUCACAUUUACCGACAUACAAGGGGUGCAGGUUAUCUCAUUUAUCACAUUUACCGACAUACAAGGGGUGCAGGUUAUCUCAUUUAUCACAUUUACCGACAUACAAGGGGUGCAGGUUAUCUCAUUUAUCACAUUUACCGACAUACAAGGGGUGCAGGUUAUCUCAUUUAUCACAUUUACCGACAUACAAGGGGUGCAGGUUAUCUCAUUUAUCACAUUUACCGACAUACAAGGGGUGCAGGUUAUCUCAUUUAUCACAUUUACCGACAUACAAGGGGUGCAGGUUAUCUCAUUUAUCACAUUUACUGACAUACAAGGGGUGCAGGUUAUCUCAUUUAUCACAUUUACCGACAUACAAGGGGUGCAGGUUAUCUCAUUUAUCACAUUUACUGACAUACAAGGGGUGUAGGUUAUCUCAUUUAUCACAUUU